CAAGGCUGAGGCGUGAUGACGAGGCACUACGGUGCUGAAGUGACAAAUGCCCUGCUUCCAGGAAAAGCCUCUAAGCAUCAGGUAACAUCAAAUCGUACCCCAAACCGACACAGGUGGUCAGGUAGAGAAUACCAAGGCGCUUGAGAGAACUCGGGUGAAGGAACUAGGCAAAAUGGUGCCGUAACUUCGGGAGAAGGCACGCUGAUAUGUAGGUGAAGCGACUUGCUCGUGGAGCUGAAAUCAGUCGAAGAUACCAGCUGGCUGCAACUGUUUAUUAAAAACACAGCACUGUGCAAACACGAAAGUGGACGUAUACGGUGUGACGCCUGCCCGGUGCCGGAAGGUUAAUUGAUGGGGUUAGCGGUAACGCGAAGCUCUUGAUCGAAGCCCCGGUAAACGGCGGCCGUAACUAUAACGGUCCUAAGGUAGCGAAAUUCCUUGUCGGGUAAGUUCCGACCUGCACGAAUGGCGUAAUGAUGGCCAGGCUGUCUCCACCCGAGACUCAGUGAAAUUGAACUCGCUGUGAAGAUGCAGUGUACCCGCGGCAAGACGGAAAGACCCCGUGAACCUUUACUAUAGCUUGACACUGAACAUUGAGCCUUGAUGUGUAGGAUAGGUGGGAGGCUUUGAAGUGUGGACGCCAGUCUGCAUGGAGCCGACCUUGAAAUACCACCCUUUAAUGUUUGAUGUUCUAACGUUGGCCCGUAAUCCGGGUUGCGGACAGUGUCUGGUGGGUAGUUUGACUGGGGCGGUCUCCUCCUAAAGAGUAACGGAGGAGCACGAAGGUUGGCUAAUCCUGGUCGGACAUCAGGAGGUUAGUGCAAUGGCAUAAGCCAGCUUGACUGCGAGCGUGACGGCGCGAGCAGGUGCGAAAGCAGGUCAUAGUGAUCCGGUGGUUCUGAAUGGAAGGGCCAUCGCUCAACGGAUAAAAGGUACUCCGGGGAUAACAGGCUGAUACCGCCCAAGAGUUCAUAUCGACGGCGGUGUUUGGCACCUCGAUGUCGGCUCAUCACAUCCUGGGGCUGAAGUAGGUCCCAAGGGUAUGGCUGUUCGCCAUUUAAAGUGGUACGCGAGCUGGGUUUAGAACGUCGUGAGACAGUUCGGUCCCUAUCUGCCGUGGGCGCUGGAGAACUGAGGGGGGCUGCUCCUAGUACGAGAGGACCGGAGUGGACGCAUCACUGGUGUUCGGGUUGUCAUGCCAAUGGCACUGCCCGGUAGCUAAAUGCGGAAGAGAUAAGUGCUGAAAGCAUCUAAGCACGAAACUUGCCCCGAGAUGAGUUCUCCCUGACUCCUUGAGAGUCCUGAAGGAACGUUGAAGACGACGACGUUGAUAGGCCGGGUGUGUAAGCGCAGCGAUGCGUUGAGCUAACCGGUACUAAUGAACCGUGAGGCUUAACCUU
rnacentral:rRNA from 1 species